GGAGGCCUACGGGAGGCAGCAGUAGGGAAUCUUCCACAAUGGGCGAAAGCCUGAUGGAGCAACGCCGCGUGGGUGAAGAAGGUCUUCGGAUCGUAAAACCCUGUUGUUAGAGAAGAAAGUGCGUGAGAGUAACUGUUCACGUUUCGACGGUAUCUAACCAGGAAGCCACGGCUAACUACGUGCCAGCAGCCGCGGUAAUACGUAGGUGGCAAGCGUUAUCCGGAUUUAUUGGGCGUAAAGAGAACGCAGGCGGUCUUUUAAGUCCGAUGUGAAAGCCUUCGGCUUAACCGGAG
rnacentral:rRNA from 1 species